GUGAACGCUGGCGGUAGGCCUAACCCCUGCAAGUCGAACGGCAGCACAGUAAGAGCUUGCUCUUACGGGUGGCGCGUGGCGGACGGGUGAGGAAUACAUCGGAAUCUACUUUUUCGUGGGGGAUAACGUAGGGAAACUUACGCUAAUACCGCAUACGACCUACGGGUGAAAGCAGGGGAUCUUCGGACCUUGCGCGAUUGAAUGAGCCGAUGUCGGAUUAGCUAGUUGGCGGGGUAAAGGCCCACCAAGGCGACGAUCCGUAGCUGGUCUGAGAGGAUGAUCAGCCACACUGGAACUGAGACACGGUCCAGACUCCUACGGGAGGCAGCAGUGGGGAAUAUUGGACAAUGGGCGCAAGCCUGAUCCAGCCAUACCGCGUGGGUGAAGAAGGCCUUCGGGUUGUAAAGCCCUUUUGUUGGGAAAGAAAAGCAGCAGGUUAAUACCCCGCUGUUCUGACGGUACCCAAAGAAUAAGCACCGGCUAACUUCGUG
rnacentral:rRNA from 1 species